rnacentral:lncRNA from 1 species
UGACUCGCCAAUGCAGUAAUUUUUUCAACUUUCUGUCUUUUGACUAUGGCUAUACUAAGGUCGACUUGCUUUUCUGGGGUCGACUCGUGCUACGCUAGAGUCAGCUCGAGUACUUCAUGGGUCGACUUGUUAAUGAGAUGAAUUUUUUGGCUUUCUAUCUGUCCUCUGAGACUAUUCUAAGGUCAACUCACGAUCUAUUGGAGUUGGCUCGUGAAAGUACAUUAGUCAGCGACAAUAUUUCGGGGUUGACCCGUUGCAGGCUUAGGGUUGACUCUUGAGGUAAUUCAGGACGAAAUCUUUUGUACUUGUAUCUAAGCUUCCAAGGAAUGUAUUCAUGGCCUUUUGGGAGUUUGCUUCUUGAUGUGGAGCUUCAGAUGGAUGAUCUUCUUUUGAGAGUGAUUAAAGGCCUUCUUCUUGCUUUUUGAAAUUAAUCAACCAUACUCAAAGU